rnacentral:rRNA from 1 species
AAUGAACGUUGGCGGCGUGGAUUAGGCAUGCAAGUCGUACGGGCCGCAAGGCCAGUGGCGCAAGGGUGAGUAAUGCGACGGUAACCAACCCCAUGGUUGGGUAUAGCCGCGGGAAACUGCGGGUAAUCCCCAGCGAAGCGAAGCGAUCGGCAUCGAUCGUUUGCCAAAGCUCCGGCGCCGUGGGACGGGCCGUCGUGGUAUUAGGUAGUUGGGGGGGUAACGGCCCACCAAGCCGACGAUGCCUACCGGGCGUGCGAGCGUGGCCCGGCACACUGGGACUGAGACACUGCCCAGACUCAUACGGGAGGCUGCAGUCGAGAAUCUUCGGCAAUGGGCGCAAGCCUGACCGAGCGACGCCGCGUGGAGGACGAAGGCCUUCGGGUUGUAAACUCCUGUCGAGGGGAGAGAAGGUCCGCAAGGACUUGACUGAUCCCUGGAGGAAGCACGGGCUAAGUUCGUGCCAGCAGCCGCGGUAACAC